rnacentral:rRNA from 1 species
CCUACGGGUGGCAGCAGUGGGGAAUAUUGGACAAUGGGCGAAAGCCUGAUCCAGCCAUGCCGCGUGUGUGAAGAAGGCCUUCGGGUUGUAAAGCACUUUCAGUGGGGAAGAAAGCCUUGGGGCUAAUACCCUCGAGGAAGGACAUCACCCACAGAAGAAGCACCGGCUAACUCCGUGCCAGCAGCCGCGGUAAUACGGAGGGUGCGAGCGUUAAUCGGAAUUACUGGGCGUAAAGCGCGCGUAGGCGGUCUGAUAAGCCGGUUGUGAAAGCCCCGGGCUCAACCUGGGAACGGCAUCCGGAACUGUCAGGCUAGAGUGUAGGAGAGGAAGGUAGAAUUCCCGGUGUAGCGGUGAAAUGCGUAGAGAUCGGGAGGAAUACCAGUGGCGAAGGCGGCCUUCUGGACUGACACUGACGCUGAGGUGCGAAAGCGUGGGUAGCAAACAGGAUUAGAUACCCUAGUAGUC